UACCGGCAGCCCGAGUGAUGGCCGAUAUUAUUGGGCCUAAAGCGUCCGUAGCCGGCCGGACAAGUCCGUUGGGAAAUCGGCGCGCUUAACGCGUCGGCGUCCAGCGGAAACUGUCCGGCUUGGGGCCGGAAGACCUGAGGGGUACGUCCGGGUAGGAGUGAAAUCCCGUAAUCCCGGACGGACCGCCGGUGGCGAAAGCGCCUCAGGAAGACGGACCCGACGGUGAGGGACGAAAGCUAGGGUCUCGAACCGGAUUAGAUACCCGGGUAGUCCUAGCCGUAAACGAUGCUCGCUAGGGNUGUGGCGCAGGCUACGAGCCUGCGCUGUGCCGUAGGGAAGCCGCGAAGCGAGCCGCCUGGGAGGUACGUCUGCAAGGAUGAAACUUAAAGGAAUUGGCGGGGGAGCACUACAACCGGAGGAGCCUGCGGUUUAAUUGGACUCAACGCCGGACAUCUCACCAGCACCGACAGUAGCAGUGACGGUCAGUUUGAUGAGCUUACCUGAGCUACUGAGAGGAGGUGCAUGGCCGCCGUCAGCUCGUACCGUGAGCGUCCUGUUAAGUCAGGCAACGAGCGAGACCCGCACUCCUAGUUGCCAGCAGCAUCUCGCGAUGGCUGGUACACUAGGAGGACUGCCGCUGCCAAAGCGGAGGAAGGAACGGGCAACGGUAGG
rnacentral:rRNA from 1 species